rnacentral:tRNA from 1 species
CGGGGAUUAGCGCAGCCCGGUAGCGCGUACGGUUCGGGACCGUAAGGUCGCCAGUUCAAAUCUGGCAUCCCCGA